AGUCCCCAGGGACACAGGUCACCCCCGCGUACACAGAGUCCCUGGGACACAGGGGAGUCUGGGGCUACAGGUCACCCCCACGUACACACAGUCCCGGGGACACAGGGGAGCCUGGGGCUACAGGUCACCCCCACGUACACACAGUCCCGGGGACACAGGUCACCCCCACGUACACACAGUCCCGGGGACACAGGUCACCCCCACGUACACUCAGUCCCGGGGACAGAGGUCACCCCCACGUACACUCAGUCCCGGGGACACAGGGACACAGUAGAAGCCUGCUCCCCGGGCAGGGCUAGCG